UGAGCCCAGGAGUUCAAAGCUGCAGUGAGCCGUGACCAUGUCCCCAAAAUGCCAGGGGUUCAGUCUAGGUCCCGCUGCUCACCUCACAGAAAGCCAAUCACCAAUCACUAAGCAACAAUUAUUGCCAAGGAAGAAGGCUUUCAUCGGGUGUUGCAGCCAAGGAGAUGGGAGAUCAGUCUUAAAUCCAUCUCCCUGGCCACUAAAAUUAGGGGUUUAUGUAGCAGGGAAGAUGUGUAAUAAUGUGUAAGAAAGCAGGAACUAGGGAGGGGCAAGGAAGCAAUCAUGAUGAAUGAGGGCCUGGCAUCUCAUUGUCUGGAUAUGAUUAGCUGGAGAAACUGUUAGAGCACCCUGGGAUGUGUGGGCCUGGGACUGUUUGCCUUUGGCACGGCUAUGCUCCGAGCUUUGGAGGAGCCAAGGAAGAAAGGCCUAGUUCCUGAUCUUAAGGCCUUUGCAGUGUGCAUUGGGAGACAUAGACUGCAAUGAAAAGAUCAUUAUUGCAAGAGACAAAUGGCAUGGAGCCACAUUCCCAGGUAACAUUUUAGUACAUUCAUCUAUGUAUUCAU
rnacentral:lncRNA from 1 species